CCUACGGGUGGCAGCAGUGGGGAAUAUUGCACAAUGGGGGAAACCCUGAUGCAGCGACGCCGCGUGAGUGAAGAAGUAUUUCGGUAUGUAAAGCUCUAUCAGCAGGAACGAGACAAGACGGUACCUGACUAAGAAGCCCCGGCUAACUACGUGCCAGCAGCCGCGGUAAUACGCAGGGGGCAAGCGUUAUCCGGAAUCACUGGGUGUAAAGGGAGCGUAGACGGCUGAGCAAGCCUGAAGUGAAAGGCGGGGGCCCAACCCCUGGACUGCUUUGGGAACUGUACGGCUGGAGUGCAGGAGAGGUAAGCGGAAUUCCUGGUGUAGCGGUGAAAUGCGUAGAUAUUAGGAGGAACACCAGUGGCGAAGGCGGCUUACUGGACUGUAACUGACGUUGAGGCUCGAAAGCGUGGGGAGCGAACAGGAUUAGAUACCCGUGUAGUC
rnacentral:rRNA from 1 species